AUGUUCCUCACUUCGGCAGCACAUAUACUAAAAUUGGAAUAACAUAGAGAAGAUUAGCAUGGUCCCUGGACAAGGGUGACGUGCAAGUUUGUCAAGCGUUCCAUGAUUUU
ensembl:snRNA U6 U6 spliceosomal RNA